GGGUGAUCUAUUUUCAAUCGCUGCGGAUCGGAAGCGUUUGAUAUCUGUUGUUUUCGUUUUCUGAACGAAUUGGAUGAUCUAUUUUUUUCCCAUAGGAAUAUUGAGAGGCUAGGAGUUCCGAUUAUUGGAAUCCGACUAGUGGAUUAUUCUUUAACCGCUCUUUUUUUUUUUCUUGCGAUCUAUCAGAGGGCUUCACAAUUUUGCCGGAUUAAGGCUAUUUGCGACAGAUUUUAUAUGUACUUUCGAAGCGGUAGGUGAGGCUUUGGUGUUUGUGUGGGUAUUAUCUUAAUGGAACCCUCGCGGAGUCUGUGAGGCAAUUUGUGAAGGUUGCUCUGGUUUUCCGAAAUGAUCUGAACAAGGGAUGUGUCCUUUUUGAUCUGGUUUAGUUGGCCUUCGUUACUUUCAACUUUUAUUUGUUGCAUUUAUGUCCACCAGUUGGUUAUGUUUGUUUGUUUUUAUUUUUUGUGUGCAAGGGAAAGCUUCUGGAUAUGAUAUUUGAAAGAGAGAUGUGUGUGUUUUGCUACCAUGCUAUGAUAUUUGGUUUGAGAUAUACGCUAACGGUAUCUGCAUCAAUGCUGUGUCUUUUGGAUACUCUAGUUGGAUUUAGACGGGUAUCAGGGAAGAGUUCCAUCAACUUCUCAUAUUUUGAGGGUUUUUGUGGGCAGUUUCCGAAGCAUCAUCGUUAGGCAUGAUUCUAUUAAAUAGAGAUGAUUCUAUAUGUGUCAUCGACGCUGUUGGUGGGGCUCUGGUGUUUUUGUGAUUAUUAUCUGUAUGGAGCCACACGUAGCUGUGAUGCAGUUUGUAAAGGAUGCUCCAAUUAAGGAUGCUCUGGUUUUUGUUGAAUGAUUUAAAUAGGUUUUCCAUUAGAUAGUGUUAUAUUUAAGGGGUUUCAUUGUUGUGACAUACGUUGCUUAUUAUGAUGGAUCCAGGGCUUCCGAAAUUAUCUGAACAGUGGAUAUGUCCGGGGAAGCUGAUGGACAUCUAGUUUUGCAUGGGCAUGGGACAUUUUUUUGAAAGUGAGAUGUGAGUGUUCUGCUACCUUCCUAUGGUAUUUGGUUUCGAUAUGUUCUACUCUAUCAUCAUUCAUGGAAGAGGUUCCUUUCACUUUUCAUUGGCUAUCUAAUUGUUGAUUGUCUGUCUACUUAUUCCAUUGGCAUGCUUGGUACAUUUUAUAAAUUUGCACUUUUGAAGUCAGUCUUUCUCUUUGUUUUCUGAAUGUCCUAUUUGUAGGGUUUUUGUGUGCAGUUGCAGAAGCAUCAGUAUCAGCAUUAGCCAUAAGCCUGGUUAUUAGGAUUAUGACCUUUCUUGAAUAGAAUUUUUGGUGAUGUGAACAAUGUAGUUGGAACAUCUACGGAAAGCCUAGCAUGAUUAAACAGAAAUUCAUGGGAAAGAUUUUAUUGGCUUUAACUGGUUUUCCCAGGAUUAACAUUAGAUUGAAAAGCUUGGAACUGACAUUUGAAUUGAUCCACUAGUACCUGUUGCUAUUGCCCAUGAUGUUUGCAAGUUUUGGUUCGAUUUUGUUCUUUUCCUGUGUGUACAUGUUUAUAUGGUUCAAAGAACUCUGGAAGGUUGUGUUUGGUUGAAAGGGGGUGGUGCAUUUGGAUUGAGAUUAGCAAAUUGAAAAGAUUGGAAGAUGACUUUUGAUUGAGAUUAGGGCAUUGAGAAGGUUGGAAAAUGAUUCUUUAGUUGAUUCGCAAGUCUCAGUAGCUAUUACCGGUGAUGUUCUGCAAUUUAUGGAUGGAUUUUGUUUUAUUUUCCUGUGCCUACAUAUUUGUAUGUUCCAAAGAACUUUGGAAGUUCUGUUUUUGGUUGAAAACAUGGUGCAAUGGGAUGUUGUAUCUAUUACGCAAAUUGGUUGUACCAAAAAUUAUUGUGGACUAGUACUCAGAUUUUGUCAUAAGUUAUCAGAUCAAGGUUUUUGAUA